rnacentral:rRNA from 1 species
GUUAGGAAUCUUCCACAAUGGGGGCAACCCUGAUGGAGCAACACCGCGUGCUGGAUGAAGGCCUUCGGGUCGUAAACAGCUUUUGUAUACGAAGAAUAUGACGGUAAUAUACGAAUAAGGGUCGGCUAACUACGUGCCAGCAGCCGCGGUCAUACGUAGGACCCAAGCGUUAUCCGGAGUGACUGGGCGUAAAGAGUUGCGUAGGCGGCUUAUUAAUCGAGUAGUGAAAUCUGGUGGCUCAACCAUCAAAACAUGGCUCGAACUGUUAGGCUUGAGAAUGGUAGAGGUAGUUGGAAUUUCUUGUGUAGGAGUGAAAUCCGUAGAUAUAAGAAGGAACACCAAUGGCGUAGGCAGACUACUGGACCAUUUCUGACGCUGAGGCACGAAAGCGUGGGGAGCGAACCGGAUUAGAUACCCUUGUAGUCC